GUCGGCGAAGAGAACAGAGGGAGGUCAAGAAAGAAAGGGAAAAAGAAUAAAGAAUAAAGAAAGAAAAAAAAGUACCGGGAGAAGGGGGAAGAAGAAGGACGCGAGAGGAAAGGAGAUAAAGAGAGUGAAGGGGGAAAAGAAGAAGAAUUCCAGAGAGUUUGGAUUUUUAUCAAAGGCUGCGAAUUGGGUAUUUCUGGAUUUGAGGGGAGAAGCUAGAUUGAUUUUUCAGAAGCAAAGGGGAACAUUUGAGAGUGUGGUUCGAUCAGAUUUGUAGAAAGGCAAAAGGGGAGAAAGUGGAGGGCUUUGUUUGCCUGGCCUUAGCCUUACUAUAUUCACCAUGGUCCAUCAAUAAGGUUUUUCUUUCACGUCUGAAACCAAGAUCUUGGGAAUUAUGGGAGAGUUAGAAACCCCAGCAGACAAAGAAGGAGAUGGAGGUGUUCAGCCUAAAACGGAGGCGGGGAUGAGCCGGAAGGAGAAGAGGAAAACCAUGAAGAAGAUGAAGCGGAAGCAGACGAGGAAGGAAAUCGCUCUCAAACAGCAUGAAGAAGAAGAGGCGAGGCUCCAAGAUCCUCAAGAGCUUAUCAACAUGGAGCAAGAGGAGGCCAAGAGGUCCGAGAGUGUGAGGAUCAUAUUCGAGGAGCGAGAGAGAGCUUGGAUUGAAGCCAUGGAGAUUCGAAAGAAGAAACGAAUCGAAGAAGAAGAGGAACGUAGAAUUAGCGCUCUGGAAUACGAGGAACUAUCCCGCAAGCAGCAGAUCAAAAAUGCAAAUGAUGAUGGUGAUGAUGACUGGGAGUAUGUAGAAGAGGGACCUGCUGAAAUCAUCUGGCAGGAAAAUGAAAUAACUGUCAAGAAGAAAAGAGUCAAGGUUCCAAAGAGGAAUAAAGACCAGCGAAGUAUAAAGGAGGAUUCUGAUCGACCUACAUCAAAUCCUCUCCCUCCACAAUCCGAAGCUUUUGAUGAUUACAAAAAUGCAUCUUUAUCAGCGCAGCAGCUGAUAGAGACUGUGGCUGCACAAGUACCGCAUUUUGGAACUGAACAGGAUAAAGAUCAUUGUCCUUUCCAUUUGAAAACUGGAGCUUGUCGGUUUGGUCAGCAUUGCAGCCGGGUGCAUUUCUACCCGGAUAAAUCAUCCACGCUGCUUAUCAAGAACAUGUACAAUGGUCCUGGCCUUACUUGGGAGCAGGAUGAGGGGCUCGAGUACAUUGACGAAGAAAUUGAGCGCUGUUAUGAAGACUUUUAUGAGGAUGUUCAUACAGAGUUCUUGAAGUUCGGAGAAAUUAUAAAUUUCAAGGUGUGCAUAAAUGGUGCACCCCACUUGCGGGGAAAUGUGUACGUACAGUACAGUGCACUGGAGUCAGCUUUGGUUGCGCAUCAAUCUGUCAAUGGUCGCUACUUUGCUGGGAAGCAGAUAAGUUGUGACUUCAUCAAUGUGACCAGAUGGAAGGUUGCCAUAUGUGGGGAAUAUGUGAAGUCGAGGUACAAGACAUGUUCCCGUGGUAGGACAUGCAAUUUUAUCCACUGUUUCCGCAAUCCUGGUGGAGAGUAUGAAUGGGCUGAUAGUGAUAGGCCACCCCCAAAAUAUUGGGUGGAAAAGAUGGUUGCAUUAUUUGGUUAUUCUGAUGCAUACAAGAAACAUAUGAUGGAGGAUAACUCUGGACAGCUGAGGAACUCUAGCAAGAAGUCAAUGACAGAUUCACAGAGGUAUGUUGUGCAACGAUCUAGUUCUAGAGAUGGGAGUUACUCAAGUUUUGCUGGUUCUAGUAGAAGAUACGACAAUGAAAAUUAUGCUCCGAAGGGCACCGGCCACCAUAGACCUUCAGGUGAAGAGAACGCUUACUUGAAGGACUUUCAUCACAGGAAGAACAGAAAGUAUUAUAUUGAAAGAGUUUCAAGAUAACGGGUUCUUCGGAGGCUAGGUUGUCACUGUUUGCUAGUUGCUUCAGCUCAGUGUUCUAUUGGUUUAACAUGCUUCAGAAACCAUACCCAUUGAGAACGCAUUCUAGGUCAUGAUGUCGCCAUCUCAUCUCCUUUCACAUGGACCUGCCAAAGCAGGGCUGGAUUGUGUUAGCAGAUGAAGAUGAACAAAAUGUGGGAGACCUAACAUUGAAAGUACAACGCCUCAAUGGUGGUGAAGCCUUUCAUGGCUGACUACACCUAUAAAAUGUGUAACGCAGUUAGACAUUUGCGUUUCAUAUGGAUCUGCCGAAGUUGGGCUGGGUCGUGCUCGCUGAUGAGCAGUACGUGUCUGUCGUGGGAUGACAUUAUAUGAGAAAUGCCUCCAUGGUGGUGAAGCCUUUUAUGGCCUACAAUCAUUGAUUGAUCAUCAAGCACUGAAUGUGUAAACGCACAUGUGUUCCAAUUAUAAUUGCAAUUAAACUUCCAUGCAAACUUUUGAAUUGUAACUUGUAAAUGCGGGUAUAUAUGGGUUGUAAAUAAAGCAUAUAUAUGCUAUGUCUAUAAAAUCUGUUGGAUUCUUUUUUUCUU